UAAAGCUAUAGAGGUGUCUUUGCUAUUUUGUUCUCUUAGCUGAACUCAUAAUGUGUAUUUGUUUUUAUUUCCAGUUGCUGCUUACCCUCAUUAGCUGUGCAAGACCAAAGGAUUUUGUGCUUUCUCUUGCCUAGUAAUUGUUCAGUCCAAAAUUUAACCAUGUUGUUUUUGUGUUAUUACCGGGAGCAAGAGGACAUGUGUAUUGGUGAGAGAAGAGGGGUGAGGAGUCAGGGAUAAGAUGAAUCUGAUUAACUUCAGGGGUUAUUAGAAUAAAUCUUGUAGGCUUGAAGAAUCUUGUAGGCUUGGAGAAUCUAGAGUUCUAUGAGAAAUGACACUACAUGGGACGGAGAAUCUGAAAGGCCUUUUUGCUGGUUUUCUUACUAACAGAGAGUUCAUAAACCAGGAUCUUCUUCGGCCUCCAAGCCACAGAGAUGAGGCACUCAGAGAGAAUUUCCUGAAUACCAAACAGAUCAGAGAGUGAGGGAUGGAGCCCAUCGUUGACAGUAACAUAGAAAAUAGUUUGCAAAUGGAAGUCCUCCUAGAUCCACAAGAUAAGUGAAGUCACAGGGAAAAUCACUGCCCCCAAAAUUGGAGUGACCAAGAGGUGAAUACAGAGAAUCACAACACGGCAAACAGAAGCUCACAAGCAGCCACCUCCACCAGAACCAAAGCCAGAGUAGGAAAAAUCUGAACUGUAAUUGACGAAUUGCUGAAAGUUCAAUGUAAAGAACUGAUAUGGUUCAGCUGUGUCCCCAUCCAAUCUCAUCUUGAAUUGUAGCUCCCAUAAGCCCUACAUAUCGUGGGAGGGACCCAGUGGGAGAUAAUUGAAUCAUGGGGGAUGGUUUUUUUCUGUGCCGUUCUCAUGAUAGUGAAUAAGUCUCACAAGAUCUGAUGGUUUUAUAAAGGGCAUUUCCCCCGCACACACUCUCUUGCCUGCCGCCAUGUAAGACAUGCCUUUGCUCCUCCUUCACCUUCUGCUGUGAUUCUGAGGCCUCCCCAACCAUGUGAAACUGUG
rnacentral:lncRNA from 1 species